ensembl:lncRNA
UGAAAAUGGCAAAAACGACACUAAUUUUGCAGAGAAAAUUCAAAAUAACUGACUUCCUGUUGGGAUUCGAAUUUCGUACCAAGAGACUUUUUUGUAGGUAUUGGUGUGUUACAUGUGUGUACCGAUUUUUGUACAUGUACGUGAAACGUAGCUCGAGGCGCACGCCGUUGAAAAUGUAUAGGUGGCGCUAUCGAGGCAUUUUGCCACACCCAAUGGAAUAUUGGCCUUCAGAUGUGUUCAGGCCAGGACUCUUAUCGAACAUGUGAAGUUUGGGCAAGAUCAGACAUUUUAUGCCUGAGUUACAAUAACUUUUAUUCCCAUGGCGAGACAUCGAACUUUGUGACGGCGCCAUGGACACACCCUUUAACGAAAACUCAAGAUCUUCACAAUUUAACAUCGCAC